ACAGUGCUCACUUAGUGCAGCAGAGGAGAGCUCCGAGUUCCAAAGGGCUGUCCCAGGAGAGCUUUACACAGCUGUUGUUACACUACUGUAAGCAGCUCUGGAUUACACAAUCAUCCACACUUCUGAGAUUUCUCAUCUAGUGAAAAUGUACUGUGUAAUCGCAGUAGACAAAACUGAAGGGUGAUUUGCUUCAGGCGCCUGCCAUCAUCGGGAAAGAUCCCAUGACUUCGAGCCCACUGUGAAUCUGCUGUAGGUGAGGUGAGCUGUGGCAAUGGCCACACACAUGCUUGCCCACAGAGGUCUGAAACUUUUCACUCCGUUUCCUCGCCACCACAGCUCAGCUAAAUACUGCCACUGCUGCCACAUAAGUAAGUUACCAAGGCCCAGUCCUCUGAAACUCCAACUCAGAGCUAUUUUAAAAACUUAUAAUGUUUCUUGCAAUUCAGAGGUGUGUAGAUUUCUGACCAACAUUACAAGGCAUGUCUCUUUAAGCUUAGAAAUAAUUUGUAUUACUUCACUACAUUAAAAAGAGAGUGAAAAGCAGAACAGGCCCUACCUGAAUGACUGCACCUGCAGUGGCACUUUCUGGCUCUGCUCCCGUAACCGGCAUACAUCCUUAGAGGCUUUUCUCAUCAAUUUCUCAGCACUUAAACCUUGUUUCUGUUCUUCUUUUGACUGUUCAGCCUGUAAACAGGAAAAAUAACUAUUUUGCUAAUAAUGAACAACUACUCAUUUCAAGGAAAUGACAAAUUCUUCUUCAUCAAGCAAAACACUUGGCAGGGUUAGGUUUACAUUCGGAUUUAAUCUUAAAGGUCUUUUCCAACCUAAAUGAUUCUAUGAAAAUCUCUAUACAAAGGGUCAGAAAGAAAGGCUGACAUCGCAAAGUAAGCCAUGGGCACAAAAUAACAGAGCUUCUCCUUAGGAAAAAAAAAAAAAAAAGAAGAGAGAAAAAUUCAAAUAAAUAGAGCAAAUCCCACGUCAUCACAGGUGGCUACUAGGGUAUUGUAGAUUUUGAUGAGAUUUCUCUUAGGGCCACAGUUAGACAAUACCUAAAUUCGUAUGAACAGAUGUUGUCUAUCCAAGUAUCUUUAUAACUGGGAGACUGUCAUUCUUUCCCCAUGUAAUGAACUUUUAUUUCAUAAUGAAAGCUCUUAGGAAAGUUACCUACACCUACUCUAAAAUUACAGACAAAAACCAGAGAAGGUGUGCUCUCAAAACAAAAUUUAAGUUUUACUGACCUUGCUAGCAAAGUUAAUAUUCAUAAACUUUUGUGCUUUUAUUCAUGACACAACACUUUUGUAUGGGACACUUCUUUCAUUUGCACUGGAGAGGUUGUAAAGCCAAGGCAAGUGAACUGAACACCAUCGAUGACAACAGAUAAAGGAUCUUUCUUGACAUGAGCAUUGUUGAGCAGAUACAUCGCUACCAGUAAACCACAGGAUUUCUGCACCUCAGUAAGGCUGGUGCUAUUAUACAUCUCUACCAAGCACUGCUGCAUCAACAGGACAAUCACAGCUGUACCAUCCACUGUUUUGGAAGGACACUGUUAUCAAGAGCUGUGUUUUGUUUGUUAAAAGGCUUUAUCAAGUGUUUCUGAAUGCCCGAUAAUUUGAACUACAGCUCUUUUCAGGUGGACAGUCACCUGGAUUUAUUACAUAAAUGGUCACUGUUCAUAUGCAGGUGAGUCCCAGAACACCUGCAAUGUCACCCCCACAGUGUGUAGGGUGUAUGGCAUGGGCAAUGCCACCUUGUGUGCACACUUAGCUUCAUUUCUAGACAUUUGUCUGACAGUCCCUGAAGUCAUGUACUGUAUUUUUAAUUUUGCCAGCCAUCAGAGUUUAAUAGAAGCAGUUCAUGUUCUAAACAAUUUUAAAAGUUCUUUAGAGGUUAUUUUUUUAUGCUUAACUUCAGGCACUCAGACUUGAAAAUGCUGUUCUGUUACCUCAAAUUAAAACACACACCCGAGCCAAAACCAGUGAUCUUCAAAGUUGGUUUUUAACUUAGGAGUUCAUGUCUCUAGUUCUGAAUUCAACCCAGUAGACUCCCAAACAACAAAACCAACUAAUUCAAAAAAGUUAGUCCAUACUAUCAGUUCCAUACUGGGCGGCUAUAGAAAUCCAUUCACAGCAGGACAGUGGUAUCCUCUGUCUGUUGAAACGCACUCCAGUGUUCUAUAUGAAAGGGUUUUACAUGAAAGAGCACCACCCUUUCAAAAACUCACUUAAACUCCAGUUUGUACUGCUGUUAACUUCUUCAGCCCCUGGUUCCAAAAUAUGUAUGAUUUUAAAAUGAAGUUAA